rnacentral:lncRNA from 1 species
CACCAAGACAGCGAAUCCAAUUCGGGUUCGAAUCCGGGCCCCAGGUCAAACUACUUGAUCGUUCGGCCUCACCGAGGUGGCUACAGAGACCUUUUUCGAUACGGUGUGAGAGGAGACGAAACUAGCAAAAACAAGUUCCUCGAACGACCUGAUGAUCACUCCGACAGGACCACAUCCGCGAUCAAUGUACAAGCCGAUGAUCACCGAUGGGUCAUCGUCGUCUCGAUCCUCGUCCGUAAGAUCAUCGGGCUUCUCCGCACACCAAUGGAAUACACGGGCUUGGUCGUUGACUUUGUGCUCAAUCUCUUGUCUGCGAACGGUGGCUUCUUCGGUUUGGUUCUUGGGCUGAUUAAAGGUACGAACUUUGAGAUAGAAACGGAAUAAAGAUUGGUUUUUUUUGAUGUGGGUUGAUUGUGUUUGCAGCGAAGAUAGUGGUACCAGAGAGAGGCUCUGUGGAUUUUGUUAGUACGAUUGGUCAGCUUGAUGGGAGGAUUGAUCUUUACAAAGGUUGGAGUUUCGUCGAACAGUUGGUGUGCAUGGAGGAUUCGGUUUAUUCCGGUUCUUCUGGGAGAGUUGGAAUCGAACCGGGGAGUCGUGGGCUUAUGGAUUUGUGUGUGAUGGCGUCGAAGCUUGCGUAUGAGAACGCUAAAGUUGUUGAAAACGUUGUGAAUCUCCAUUGGAAGGCAAGUUAGUCUAAAAAUAGAAACUUCAUGAGGAUAAAGUUUCCAACUUUACUAAAGUUUUGAUCUUUUAAUGACUGCAGAUGAAUCUGGUUGAGUUCUUGGAUUGUUGGAAUGGUGAGGAUUAUAUUCUCAACACUUGUGUUUACUUUUAUACAUGAACACUUUUGUGGAUGUGUGCUUUGUCUAUUUUUGUAGAUUAUCAGAAGCAGAUGUCUACACAAGUGUUUAUACUCACUGAUAAGGAGAAAGAUGCAGACUUGAUACUGAUCAGCUUCAGAGGCACUGAGCCGUUUGAUGCAGAUGACUGGGGAACAGACUUUGACUAUUCUUGGUAUGAGAUCCCCAAUGUGGGUAAGCUUCACAUGGGUUUCAUCGAAGCAAUGGGUUUAGGUACCAGAGACUACACUCCUACUUUCGACUACCAUCUCGUCGAGCUGAACUCCUCUGAGAAAGAGAAUAACCAAAAGAAUCUCCCAGAGAUGGUAGAGAGAAGCGCUUAUUACGCAGUUAGAGAAACUCUGAGACGUUUGCUUGCGGAGCACGCAAACGCCAAGUUUGUAGUCACUGGUCACAGCUUAGGAGGCGCGUUAGCGAUUCUGUUUCCCACGUUGCUGGUGUUGAAAGAGGAGACGGAGAUGAUGAGGAGGCUGCUUGGGGUUUACACUUUCGGACAGCCUAGGAUCGGGAACAGAGAGAUUGGUAGUUUCAUGAAAGCUAAACUGAAUCACCCUGUAGAUAGAUACUUUCGUGUUGUGUACUGCAACGAUCUUGUCCCGAGAUUGCCUUACGACGACACAACGUUCCUCUACAAGCAUUUCGGAGUCUGUCUUUACUACGACAGUUUCUACAACGAGACAGUAAUGUUCUCAUCACUAAAAAACAAUCUUUACAUGUUUUAGGUUUGGACUUAAACUAAUGAUUGGUUCUUCUUGCAUGUUUGACAGAGAGCAGAGGAUGAACCGGAUCCGAACCCUUACGGUAUGCGUUAUGCGGUUCUUGCUCAUGUAAACGCGGUUUGGGAGUUGGUUAGAGGUUUGAUGAUGGGGUUCAUUUAUGGACCGGGUUAUAGAGAAGGAUGGUUUAGGAUCUUGUUUAGGCUCAUAGGACUGAUGAUUCCAGGCCUCUCGGAUCAUUGCCCGACUGAUUAUGUUAACUCGGUUAGGCUUGGACCAGAUUAUGACCUUCAGAUGUCUCCUCUUUGAAGAGUGCUCUGUUUUUUUUGAACCGGAACUUGGUUCCUGGAAUAAAUCUUGACUGAACCAGGACUCGGUUAAGAUGUAGGUUUGUAAAUAGAAUAAGACAAAAACAAGUUCCUCGAACGACCUGAUGAUCACUCCGACAGGACCACAUCCGCGAUCAAUGUACAAGCCGAUGAUCACCGAUGGGUCAUCGUCGUCUCGAUCCUCGUCCGUAAGAUCAUCGGGCUUCUCCGCACACCAAUGGAAUAC